UAGGGAAUCUUCGGCAAUGGACGAAAGUCUGACCGAGCAACGCCGCGUGAGUGAAGAAGGUUUUCGGAUCGUAAAACUCUGUUGUUAGAGAAGAACAAGGACGUUAGUAACUGAACGUCCCCUGACGGUAUCUAACCAGAAAGCCACGGCUAACUACGUGCCAGCAGCCGCGGUAAUACGUAGGUGGCAAGCGUUGUCCGGAUUUAUUGGGCGUAAAGCGAGCGCAGGCGGUUUCUUAAGUCAGAUGUGAAAGCCCCCGACUCAACCGGGGAGUGUCAUUGGAAACUGGGAGACUUGAGUGCAGAAGAGGAGAGUGGAAUUCCAUGUGUAGCGGUGAAAUGCGUAGAUAUAUGGAGGAACACCAGUGGCGAAGGCGGCUCUCUGGUCUGUAACUGACGCUGAGGCUCGAAAGCGUGGGGAGCAAACAGG
rnacentral:rRNA from 1 species